AACAAAAAGCGGUCUGGUCUA
rnacentral:siRNA from 1 species